rnacentral:rRNA from 1 species
GGUGAACGCUGGCGGCGUGCCUAAUACAUGCAAGUCGAGCGAACGGACGAGAAGCUUGCUUCUCUGAUGUUAGCGGCGGACGGGUGAGUAACACGUGGAUAACCUACCUAUAAGACUGGGAUAACUUCGGGAAACCGGAGCUAAUACCGGAUGAUAUUUUGAACCGCAUGGUUCAAAAGUGAAAGACGGUCUUGCUGUCACUUAUAGAUGGAUCCGCGCUGCAUUAGCUAGUUGGUAAGGUAACGGCUUACCAAGGCAACGAUGCAUAGCCGACCUGAGAGGGUGAUCGGCCACACUGGAACUGAGACACGGUCCAGACUCCUACGGGAGGCAGCAGUAGGGAAUCUUCCGCAAUGGGCGAAAGCCUGACGGAGCAACGCCGCGUGAGUGAUGAAGGUCUUCGGAUCGUAAAACUCUGUCAUUAGGGAAGAACAUAUGUGUAAGUAACUGUGCACAUCUUGACGGUACCUAAUCAGAAAGCCACGGCUAACUACGUG